AGUGAACGCUGGCGGUAGGCCUAACACAUGCAAGUCGAACGGCCGCACAGUAAGAGCUUGCUCUUACGGGUGGCGAGUGGCGGACGGGUGAGGAAUACAUCGGAAUCUACUUUUUCGUGGGGGAUAACGUAGGGAAACUUACGCUAAUACCGCAUACGUCCUACGGGUGAAAGCAGGAGAUCUUCGCACCUUGCGCGACUGAAUGAGCUGAUGUCGGAUUAGCUAGUUGGCGGGGUAAAGGCACACCAAGGCGACGAUCCGUAGCUGGUCUGAGAGGAUGAUCAGCCACACUGGAACUGAGACACGGUCCAGACUCCUACGGGAGGCAGCAGUGGGGAAUAUUGGACAAUGGGCGCAAGCCUGAUCCAGCCAUACCGCGUGGGUGAAGAAGGCCUUCGGGUUGUAAAGCCCUUUUGUUGGGAAAGAAAAGCAGCAUGUGAAUACCCCGCUGUUCUGACGGUACCCAAAGAAUAAGCACCGGCUAACUUCGUG
rnacentral:rRNA from 1 species